UACGUAGGGUGCAAGCGUUGUCCGGAAUUAUUGGGCGUAAAGGGUGCGCAGAUGGCUUGGUAAGUUAGCGGUGGGAAAUCGAGGCUCAACCUCGUGGAAGCCGGUAAUACUAUUAGGCUUGAGUGCAGGAGAGGUUAACGGAAUUCCAUGUGGAGCGGUAAAAUGUGUAGAUAUAUGGAAGAACAUCAAUAACGGCGAAGGCAGUUAACUAUUCUGCUACUGACAUUGAGGCACGAAAGCGUGGGGAGCAAAACGG
rnacentral:rRNA from 1 species